UACGGAGGGUGCGAGCGUUGUCCGGAAUCACUGGGCGUAAAGGGCGCGUAGGUGGCCUGUGGAAGUCUGCGGUGAAAGCCCGGCGCUCAACGCCGGGUCGGCCGUGGAUACUCUCGGGCUCGAGCUUACUAGAGGCAGAUGGAAUUCCGGGUGUAGCGGUGGAAUGCGUAGAGAUCCGGAAGAACACCGGUGGCGAAGGCGGUCUGCUGGGGUAAUGCUGAUACUGAUGCGCGACAGCGUGGGGAGCAAACAGG
rnacentral:rRNA from 1 species